rnacentral:rRNA from 1 species
UACGGAGGGUGCGAGCGUUGUUCGGAAUCACUGGGCGUAAAGAGUGCGUAGGCGGAAUAGUAAGCUAAUGGUCAAAGGCUGUGGCUCAACCAUGGUAAGGCUGUUAGAACUGCUAUUCUAGAGAGUAAGAGAGGUAGGCGGAAUUCCUGGUGUAGAGGUGAAAUUCGUAGAGAUCAGGAGGAACACCGGUGGCGUAGGCGGCCUACUGGCUUACAUCUGACGCUGAGGCACGAAAGCGUGGGUAGCGAACAGG